GUGUGGAAUAUAGAGUUCCUUAGGACACAGCAGUGUUCUUUCUGAGCCUCAGGGAGAGUUCCCAGGCACUUACGGUUUCAAGUUCUCUAUAGACUUUGAAAGACCUUAAAAGACUCAGUCUCUUCCUAUCAGUCUUGGCUUCUUCACUUCUGAAAUCCUGUUCUGCUGUGGUUUGAAUAAGAAAGUACAAUGCAGGUAUUUACCAGUUCAAGACUGUGUUAUAAGAGUUCUUUUAUCAGUCAGUUGAUUGUAAUGAAUUAUCAGCUUGGCUUAUAAAAGCCUAUUCGGCCAUUAUGAAGCCCUACCUUCUGUUGCUAACUAGAACCUAACCACCACUUAUGACACUGCUUUUCUUCCAUCCAAAGUUUUGAAGACUAGUGUCAGAGAUGAAUUUUCUACCAACAGGCAAAUGACAGAAAAUACUGAAGACUAAUCAUUUCUUGGGCCAAGUGGAGGCUGAAAGACAUCAAAGUGCAGUGAAAGAAAUAAAGAUAAUCACCAGUAUCUGCAUUAUUAAAUAUCAAUGAAAGACUUUUCAUUAAGCAAUGUUUUUUUCAUUAUUUUACUGAAAAGCAUUAAAUUGACCAUUUCAUUAAAAUAGCAUAUAGUAGAUAAAGAGAGUCAGUUGUUAAAAAGAAAGAUAAACAACAGUGAUAAUUA